AGGGGCGUAGCCAAGCGGUAAGGCAACGGGUUUUGAUCCCGUCAUGCGUUGGUUCGAAUCCAGCCGCCCCUGCCA
rnacentral:tRNA from 1 species